rnacentral:rRNA from 1 species
AUUGAACGCUGGCGGCAUGCCUUACACAUGCAAGUCGAACGGUAACAGGUCUCCGGAUGCUGACGAGUGGCGAACGGGCGAGUAAUACACCGGAACGUGCCCAGCCGUGGGGGAUAACGUGGCGAAAGCUUUGCUAAUACAGCACACGAUAUAAGGAUGAAAGCCGGGGAGCGCAAGGCAUAGUGCGUUUGGAGCGGCCGAUGGCAGAUUAGGUAGUUGGUGGGAUAAAAGCUUACCAAGCCGACGAUCUGUAGCUGGACUGAGAGGACGACCAGCCACACUGGGACUGAGACACGGCCCAGACUCCUACGAGAGGCAGCAGUGGGGAAUUUUGGACAAUGGGCGAAAGCCUGAUCCAGCAAUGCCGCGUGCAGGAUGAAGGCCUUCGGGUUGUAAACUGCUUUUGUACGGAACGAAAAGGCUCUGGCUAAUACCUGGGGCACAUGACGGUACCGUAAGAAUAAGCACCGGCUAACUACGUG